ACGGGUGAGUAACACGUGGGCAAUCUGCCCUUCACUCUGGGACAAGCCCUGGAAACGGGGUCUAAUACCGGAUAACACCUGCCCGGGCAUCCGGGUGGGUUAAAAGCUCCGGCGGUGAAGGAUGAGCCCGCGGCCUAUCAGCUUGUUGGUGAGGUAGUGGCUCACCAAGGCGACGACGGGUAGCCGGCCUGAGAGGGCGACCGGCCACACUGGGACUGAGACACGGCCCAGACUCCUACGGGAGGCAGCAGUGGGGAAUAUUGCACAAUGGGCGAAAGCCUGAUGCAGCGACGCCGCGUGAGGGAUGACGGCCUUCGGGUUGUAAACCUCUUUCAGCAGGGAAGAAGCGAAAGUGACGGUACCUGCAGAAGAAGCGCCGGCUAACUACGUGCCAGCAGCCGCGGUAAUACGUAGGGCGCAAGCGUUGUCCGGAAUUAUUGGGCGUAAAGAGCUCGUAGGCGGCUUGUCACGUCGGGUGUGAAAGCCCGGGGCUUAACCCCCGGGUCUGCAUUCGAUACGGGCUAGCUAGAGUGUGGUAGGGGAGAUCGGAAUUCCUGGUGUAGCGG
rnacentral:rRNA from 1 species